UGCGUCACCGCAGGAUCGCACGAGGGUAAGACCGGUAACUGGGGCUAAGUCGUAACAAGGUAGCCGUACCGGAAGGUGCGGCUGGAACACCUCCUUUCUGGAGCAUCAGAAUUAUUGAUAGAGGAUUCGUUAAMRCUUUAAGAAGACUUACGAGGCAAUKCUCCCUUAUACGCUUGUCACCUUCAGUAUCAUAACCCUAUUUUAUACUGCAGCCUUUGGCUCAGAGCAUCAAGCCAGUCCCUUAGCUCAGUUGGUUAGAGCGCUACACUGAUAAUGUAGAGGUCGGCAGUUCAACUCUGCCAGGGACUACAAGUAAAAGUAUAAUAUUAGGGGGAUUAGCUCAGCUGGCUAGAGCACCUGCCUUGCACGCAGGGGGUCAUCGGUUCGAAUCCGAUAUCCUCCACGAUUCCUUCACUCUUCUGAGGGUGAWGGACAGUAUAAAUAGCGAUCAUAGACAUAUUGACAAGUAAAGAAUAGAGAAUAGAAAACGUAAACGAGAGAAACGAGUUCUACGCUUCKGCUGUUUGGCGCAAGUCGGACGGUUGUGGCGRAAGGAUUUAUCUCGGGCGCUAUACUUUUAAAAGAGUAUAGUUUACGAAGUAUACGAAAUAAACGUAAUAGUUCAUUAGGAAGUUACUUUUUUGCUGAUG
rnacentral:misc_RNA from 1 species